rnacentral:rRNA from 1 species
UACAGAGGAGCCAAGCGUUGUCCGGAUUGACUGGGCGUAAAGCGCACGCAGGCGGUCGUGCGCGUGGGGUGUGAAAUCUGGCCGCUUAACGGCCAGGCGCCAUCCCAUACGGCACGACUGGAGGGCUGCAGAGGUCGAUGGAAUUGCCGGUGUAGUGGUGAAAUGCGUAGAUAUCAGGAGGAACACCGGUGGUGUAGACGGCUCACUGGACCGUAACUGACGCUGAGACACGAAAGCGUGGGUAGCAAACAGG